UCGAAUCGCAUGGCCUUGCGCCGGCGAUGGUUCAUUCAAAUUUCUGCCCUAUCAACUUUCGAUGGUAGGAUAGUGGCCUACCAUGGUGGCAACGGGUAACGGGGAAUUAGGGUUCGAUUCCGGAGAGGGAGCCUGAGAAACGGCUACCACAUCCAAGGAAGGCAGCAGGCGCGCAAAUUACCCAAUCCCGAUACGGGGAGGUAGUGACAAUAAAUACUGAUACAGGGCUCUUUUGGGUCUUGUAAUUGGAAUGAGAACAAUCUAAAUCCCUUAACGAGGAACAAUUGGAGGGCAAGUCUGGUGCCAGCAGCCGCGGUAAUUCCAGCUCCAAUAGCGUAUAUUAAAGUUGUUGCAGUUAAAAAGCUCGUAGUUGAACCUUGGGCCCGUCCUGCCGGUCCGCCUCACCGCGAGUACUGGUCCGGAUGGGCCUUUCUUUCUGGGGAAUCCCAUGGCCUUCACUGGCUGUGGCGGGGAACCAGGACUUUUACUGUGAAAAAAUUAGAGUGUUCAAAGCAGGCCUUUGCUCGGAUACAUUAGCAUGGAAUAAUAGAAUAGGACGUGCGGUUCUAUUUUGUUGGUUUCUAGGACCGCCGUAAUGAUUAAUAGGGAUAGUCGGGGGCGUCAGUAUUCAGCUGUCAGAGGUGAAAUUCUUGGAUUUGCUGAAGACUAACUACUGCGAAAGCAUUCGCCAAGGAUGUUUUCAUUAAUCAGGGAACGAAAGUUAGGGGAUCGAAGACGAUCAGAUACCGUCGUAGUCUUAACCAUAAACUAUGCCGACUAGGGAUCGGGCGGGGUUUCUAUGAUGACCCGCUCGGCACCUUUACGAGAAAUCAAAGUUUUUGGGGUUCUGGGGGGGGAGUAUGGU
rnacentral:rRNA from 1 species